rnacentral:rRNA from 1 species
AGAGUUUGAUCCUGGCUCAGAUUGAACGCUGGCGGUAUGCUUAACACAUGCAAGUCGAACGGAAACGAUACUAGCUUGCUAGUAGGCGUCGAGUGGCGGACGGGUGAGUAACGCGUAGGAAUCUGCCUGAUAGUGGGGGAUAGCCCGAAGAAAUUCGGAUUAAUACCGCAUAAUCUAUUCGUAGUAAAGUGGGGGACUUUCGAGCCUCACGCUAUCAGAUGAGCCUGCGUAAGAUUAGCUUGUUGGUAGGGUAAAAGCCUACCAAGGCAACGAUCUUUAGCUGGUCUGAGAGGAUGAUCAGCCACAUCGGGACUGAGACACGGCCCGAACUCCUACGGGAGGCAGCAGUGGGGAAUAUUGGACAAUGGGGGCAACCCUGAUCCAGCAAUACCGCGUGUGUGAAGAAGGCCUGAGGGUUGUAAAGCACUUUCAAUUGUGAAGAAAAGUUAACGGUUAAUAACCGUUAGCCUUGACGUUAACUUUAGAAGAAGCACCGGCUAACUCCGUGCCAGCAGCCGCGGUAAUACGGAGGGUGCAAGCGUUAAUCGGAAUUACUGGGCGUAAAGCGUGCGUAGGCGGUUUAUUAAGUCAGAUGUGAAAGCCCCGGGCUUAACCUGGGAACUGCAUUUGAAACUGGUCAACUAGAGUAUGGUAGAGGAAAGUGGAAUUUCUGGUGUAGCGGUGAAAUGCGUAGAUAUCAGAAGGAACAUCAAUGGCGAAGGCAGCUUUCUG